ACGAGUGGUGCAAGCGUUAUUCGGAAUCAUUGGGCGUACAGGGUGUGUAGGCGGUAUGUUAAGUCUGUUGUUAAAUCCUCCGGCCUAACCGGAGAUAGGCAGCGGAAACUGGCGAACUAGAGGGUGGAAGAGAGAAGUGGAAUUCUCGGUGUAGCGGUAAAAUGCGUAGAUAUCGAGAGGAACACCGAUGGCGAAGGCAGCUUCUUGGUCCAUUCCUGACGCUGAAACACGAAAGCGUGGGGAGCAAACAG
rnacentral:rRNA from 1 species